UGGUUGGAUUUCAUACAGUUUCUCUUCUGAUCCUGGAAACCCUAUAUCAGUUAUUGGCGUGGUUACUUGAAGACAUUACUUUUUUUACAGAAAGCUUUUGAACUUUGUUUUGUUUUGUAAUAGUACUAUUAGGCCUAGGUACUGUUUGGCAAAGCAAUAAUAAUUGGUGGUUGUUUGGUGUACCAAGACACUAUUGUAUUCUCUUUGGUUGUCCAAAUGCUUUUACGUACUAAUCUUUCUUGGUGUCACUGUCAACUAGGAAUGGAACGUGCACAUGCUACUGUUGCCACAAAUGCUUCCUUCUUUGCCUUUACUCGUUGAGCCAAUCUGGUCCUUCAAUCAAGUUCAGUGGUGUAUGCUUUCACCAAGCAACAUUCUCUCAUAUGUAUCUUACGUUUUGUGGGUCACGUAAUUAGGUUGGGACUGCUCAUCUUUCAUUUUCAUCUAUCUGUAUACUGCUCCUACGUGCAUUAUCAUGAACUGUAGAUUAUACAAUAGUCCGAAAGCGACCUGAGAAUAACACCAACAUGAGGGUCUUCCUCUUCUGGAAAGUUGCCAGCUAGAGUCUCUUUUGUUGUUUUCUGUUCCCAUUAAUUGUGUGCCUCAUUAAGCUUAAAUACUUUUGCAAUGAUUUAUCUAGAGCUCAAUGAUAUAUGUAUACCAGCUAAUUCAUUUUCCAUGUAACAGAUCGCAUCUUGUAACAGCAAAUUUUGGUAUAGCUGUCAGUUGAAUUGGUCAAGCAAGAACUUGUCUCUAUCUUUUAGUUUAUAUGUUACAUCUCUAACUAUAACUUUCCAGCAAACUGUUUCUUUUAGCUACUAUAAAUGCAAUUAAUAUAUGUCAUGUUUGUUUUAACUUUCUCUGAUGGGUGUGGUUCUACUGUGUUGACAACGUGCGAAAGAAAUGACAACAGAAGAAUCAUGUGAAGCUCUUGAAAGUAGCAGGACUUUUUUUGUUAGCAAGCAAGCAAAGCUGUGCUGUUAGCUACUUGACCACACAUCAUAGAAACAAUAUUGGAAAUGUUUGUUCAUCCUCUUGAUGGCUCAUGUGUUGAAGAUGAAGAUAUGUAUGUCAAGAACAUGGUACAUAUGGUAUAACAUUAACAGGGUUGAACGGAGAAACGUGCAGAUAACUUAUUUGGGACAGCAUCUAGAAAAAAAAAACAUAUUCCGGCAAAUGAAAACAAAGCAACUACCUACACACAUGGCUUAUUAAAGGCAAACAACAGGAUUGGUGAGGGACCUUAAACAUCUUUCUUCAUUACAGGAUUUGGAUUCUAUGUGAACCACUAUAUCUUCUUCUCAUGAGUAUCAUUUGGUUUUGCUCACCUUGCCUCUACUUUGGACACGGCUAGCUGCAAUUGUUCUUGUUCUAGCUUUGACCUCUGAUUUUUCUCCUUCAUUGCUUAAUGUUUUCUCUUUAGGUUGGCGUUUUUCAA